AUGUAUCUUAUAACAAUUAUGUUACUUUACUCUUAUUACUUGAAUAAUCUGUGCACAGCAUGUAAUACAAAUGACCAGCUGAUCAGUGGUAAUUCUAUAUCAGGAUCGACCCAUGCUAGGCUUUCCUUUCACCCCUGGGAUACCCCCUGUAAUACUGGGAUUGACCCAUGCUAGGUGAUUCUUUCACCCCUGGGAUACCACCCAUCAGAAGCAACUGUAGACAUAAAUCUUCUUAUUACUUUUGAGAUGAAUCUUUGGUGGUCGUAACAUUUGAGCUAUAAGACUAUAAGCAUGACAAAUGACAAGUAUGUGUCCAUGUAACAUCAUAUCAUAAUGAAAAGAGUGGGUUGUACAAUUAGUGAAACAUGUAGGACAUAAACAACGUAUGAACUUUAUUUAGCUAAAAAGAAGACUCAUAUGUCAUGGUACCCAAUGUAUGUAUGCAGCAGUGACAAUGCUCGAAUCUGGACACACAAGUACAUGUUAAAGAGUGGAGUGGUUAUG
rnacentral:lncRNA from 1 species